GGGAAUGUGGCUUAGUGGUGGAGUGCUUGCCUGUCGUGCAUGAAGCCCUGGGUUCGAUUCCUCAGUCCCA
rnacentral:tRNA from 1 species